GAUUANCGCUGGCGGCGUGCAUAACACAUGCAAGUCGAACGAUGAAACUUAAAAGAACUCUUCGGAGUGAUUUUAAGUGGAUUAGUGGCGGACGGGUGAGUAACGCGUGAGUAACCUGCCUUAGAGAAGGGGAUAGCCUUUGGAAACGAAGAAUAAUACCCUAUAACACCAACACCUCGCAUGAAGAGUUGGUCAAAGAUUUAUCGCUCUAAGAUGGACUUGCGUCUGAUUAGUUAGUUGGUGAGGUAACGGCCCACCAAGACAGCGAUCAGUAGCCGGCUUGAGAGAGUGUACGGCCACAUUGGGACUGAGACACGGCCCAGACUCCUACGGGAGGCAGCAGUGGGGAAUUUUGCACAAUGGGGGAAACCCUGAUGCAGCGACGCCGCGUGAUUUAGAAGGCCUUCGGGUUGUAAAAAUCUUUUCUAUGGGAAGAAAAUGACAGUACCAUAGGAAUAAGGACCGGCUAAUUACGUGCCAGCAGCCGCGGUAAUACGUAAGGUCCGAGCGUUGUCCGGAAUCAUUGGGCGUAAAGGGUACGUAGGCGGGUAAGCAAGUUAGAAGUGAAAUCCUGUAGCUCAACUACAGUAAGCUUUUAAAACUGCUCAUCUUGAGAUAUGGAAGGGAAAGUGGAAUUCCUAGUGUAGCGGUGAAAUGCGCAGAUAUUAGGAGGAAUACCGGUGGCGAAGGCGACUUUCUGGCCAUAAUCUGACGCUGAGGUACGAAAGCGUGGGUAGCAAACAGG
rnacentral:rRNA from 1 species